rfam:Salmo salar isolate Sally breed double haploid chromosome ssa02, whole genome shotgun sequence.
AGUAAGAUGAACUGUAAGUCGCUCUGGAUAAGAGCGUCUGCUAAAUGACUAAAA